GACGAACGCUGGCGGCGUGCUUAACACAUGCAAGUCGAACGGCAAGGCCCUGCUUUUGUGGGGUGCUCGAGUGGCGAACGGGUGAGUAACACGUGAGUAACCUGCCCUUGACUUUGGGAUAACUUCAGGAAACUGGGGCUAAUACCGGAUAGGAGCUCCUGCUGCAUGGUGGGGGUUGGAAAGUUUCGGCGGUUGGGGAUGGACUCGCGGCUUAUCAGCUUGUUGGUGGGGUAGUGGCUUACCAAGGCUUUGACGGGUAGCCGGCCUGAGAGGGUGACCGGCCACAUUGGGACUGAGGGACGGCCCAGACUCCUACGGGAGGCAACAGGGGGAAAUAUUGCACAAUGGGCGGAAGCCUGAUGCAACAACGCCGCGGGCGUGAUGACGGCCUUCGGGGUGUAAACCGCUUUCGCCUGUGACGAAGCGUGAGUGACGGUAAUGGGUAAAGAAGCACCGGCUAACUACGUG
rnacentral:rRNA from 1 species